AAAUCAACCGAGAUUCCCCAAGUAGCGGCGAGCGAACGGGGAGCAGCCCAGAGCCUGAAUCAGUGUGUGUGUUAGUGGAAGCGUCUGGAAAGGCGCGCGAUACAGGGUGACAGCCCCGUACACAAAAAUGCACAUAUUGUGAGCUCGAUGAGUAGGGCGGGACACGUGGUAUCCUGUCUGAAUAUGGGGGGACCAUCCUCCAAGGCUAAAUACUCCUGACUGACCGAUAGUGAACCAGUACCGUGAGGGAAAGGCGAAAAGAACCCCGGCGAGGGGAGUGAAAAAGAACCUGAAACCGUGUACGUACAAGCAGUGGGAGCACGCUUAGGCGUGUGACUGCGUACCUUUUGUAUAAUGGGUCAGCGACUUAUAUUCUGUAGCAAGGUUAACCGAAUAGGGGAGCCGAAGGGAAACCGAGUCUUAACUGGGCGUUAAGUUGCAGGGUAUAGACCCGAAACCCGGUGAUCUAGCCAUGGGCAGGUUGAAGGUUGGGUAACACUAACUGGAGGACCGAACCGACUAAUGUUGAAAAAUUAGCGGAUGACUUGUGGCUGGGGGUGAAAGGCCAAUCAAACCGGGAGAUAGCUGGUUCUCCCCGAAAGCUAUUUAGGUAGCGCCUCGUGAAUUCAUCUCCGGGGGUAGAGCACUGUUUCGGCAAGGGGGUCAUCCCGACUUACCAACCCGAUGCAAACUGCGAAUACCGGAGAAUGUUAUCACGGGAGACACACGGCGGGUGCUAAC
rnacentral:rRNA from 1 species